rnacentral:rRNA from 1 species
AUGAUGGACCAGGAGCACCUGGACUUCAUCAUGCGCCACCAGCACCAGGGCGGCAUGGGGUUUGCUCCCGCCGACCGCGGCGACAGCGAGGAGGCGCUGGGGUCGUCGGAGUCGGAGCCGGCGGGGAGGCCGCGCGGCAAGAGGGCCCGCGCCGCCGAGGUGCACAACCUCUCCGAGAAGAGGCGGCGGUGCAAGAUCAACGAGAAGAUGAAGGCGCUGCAGAGCCUCGUGCCCGACUCCAGCAAGACGGACAAAGCCUCCAUGCUCGACGACGCCAUUGAGUACCUCAAGCACCUCCAGCUCCAAGUGCAGAUGCUGUCUAUGAGGAAUGGAGUGUACCGUCCCUCGGUGAACUUACCAGGAGCACCUGACCAUCUGCCGACAUCGCAAAUGUGCGCCGCACUUAACCAGAACAGCGUCGAUGCAUCAUCAAACCGACCAGCUGCCAUGCUGCCUAUGAGUCAUUUUUUAGGAGCAAUGUCAGGGACUCGACAUCCAUUUGGACCUCCGAAUCAGGACCGGCCGCGUCACGAGCCUCUUGUGUUAUCAAGUGUUCCUUGCACGACCACUCGAGAGCCUCCGUUCCUUCUCGGGCCAUCGCAGGAGUCCCCCCUUCGAUCCCUUCAGUUGACCUUACCGGCCGAGAUGAUCUUUCAAGAGGAGGCAAUGCUAAAGCAUCGGCUAAGUUCAACUCAGGAGACCACCUCGAUGCCAGUAGGGCAUGAGAUCAAGCAGCCUGUUAGGCAGGAAACACCUGCAGAGAGGGCUGGUCAUUUCGAUGCAUGUUCAAUCUGGAAAAAUCAAUCACAUGACAUGACGCCAAACAAUCCGGAAAGCGUUCUGUUUGCGCCGCACUUUCGUAGAUUUGGGAGCGGUACCGCUGACUCGGGUCUGAGGGCGGAAUCGAAGUAA